GACGAACGCUGGCGGCGUGCCUAACACAUGCAAGUCGAACGAAGCACUUCGGUGCUUAGUGGCGGACGGGUGAGUAACGCGUGAACAAUCUACCCUGUACAAAGGAAUAGCCUCGGGAAACUGGGAUUAAAACCAUAUAACACUUACACAUCGCAUGAUGAGUAAGUCAAAUUGAUUAAGAGGUAUAGGAUGAGUUCGCGUCUGAUUAGCUAGUUGGUGAGGUAAUGGCUCACCAAGGCGACGAUCAGUAGCCGGCCUGAGAGGGUGAACGGCCACACUGGAACUGAGACACGGUCCAGACUCCUACGGGAGGCAGCAGUGGGGAAUAUUGCACAAUGGGCGAAAGCCUGAUGCAGCGACGCCGCGUGAGUGAAGAAGGCCUUCGGGUCGUAAAACUCUGUCCUUGGUGAAGAAAAAAAUGACGGUAGCCAAGGAGGAAGCCCCGGCUAACUACGUG
rnacentral:rRNA from 1 species